rnacentral:pre_miRNA from 2 species
AAACUCUUGUUGGAGAAGCAGGGCACGUGCAAAUCUUUUGGCUUGGUUUUCUCACAUGCCCUUUUGCACGUGCUCCCCUUCUCCAACAUGGGUUA